rnacentral:rRNA from 1 species
AGGGCGCACGGUGGAUGCCUUGGCACUAGGAGCCGAUGAAGGACGGGACUAACACCGAUAUGCCUCGGGGAGUUGUAAGUAAACUUUGAUCCGGGGAUUUCCGAAUGGGGGAACCCACUGUUCGUAAUGGAACAGGACAUCUAUCUGAAUACAUAGGGUAGAUGAGGCAGACCCGGGGAACUGAAACAUCUCAGUACCUGGAGGAAGAGAAAGAAAAAUCGAUUUCCUGAGUAGCGGCGAGCGAAACGGAAAGAGCCCAAACCAGGAAGCUUGCUUCCUGGGGUUGUAGGACACUCCAUUGGAGUUACAAAGAAAUUCUUUAAAUGAAUCGACUUGGAAAGGUCAGCCAAAGAAGGUAACAGCCCUGUAGUUGAAAAGGAAUUUCCUCCGGAGUGUAUCCUGAGUACGGCGGAACACGUGGAAUUCCGUCGGAAUCCGGGAGGACCAUCUCCCAAGGCUAAAUACUACCUAGUGACCGAUAGUGAACCAGUACCGUGAGGGAAAGGUGAAAAGCACCCCGGGAGGGGAGUGAAAUAGAACCUGAAACCGUGUGCCUACAAGUAGUCGGAGCCCGUUAAUGGGUGACGGCGUACCUUUUGUAGAAUGGACCGGCGAGUUACGAUCGUAUGCAAGGUUAAGUGGAAGACACGGAGCCGUAGCGAAAGCGAGUCUGAAUAGGGCGAAGGAGUAUGCGGUCGUAGACCCGAAACUGUGUGAUCUACCCAUGUCCAGGGUGAAGGUCAGGUAACACUGACUGGAGGCCCGAACCCACGUAUGUUGAAAAAUGCGGGGAUGAGGUGUGGGUAGCGGUGAAAUUCCAAUCGAACACAGAGAUAGCUGGUUCUCUCCGAAAUAGCUUUAGGGCUAGCCUCAAGAUAGUGAGUACUGGAGGUAGAGCACUGAUUGGACUAGGGGCCCCUACCGGGUUACCGAAUUCAGUCAAACUCCGAAUGCCAGUUACUUCAACUUGGGAGUCAGACUAUGGGUGAUAAGGUUCAUAGUCGAAAGGGAAACAGCCCAGACCGCCAGCUAAGGUCCCAAAAUAUACGUUAAGUGGAAAAGGAUGUGGCGUUGCACAGACAACCAGGAUGUUGGCUUAGAAGCAGCCAUCAUUGAAAGAGUGCGUAAUAGCUCACUGGUCGAGUGACGCUGCGCCGAAAAUGUACCGGGGCUAAACGUAUUACCGAAGCUGCGGAUUGUUCUUACGAACAAUGGUAGGAGAGCGUUCAAAGUGCAGAGAAGUCAGACCGUGAGGACUGGUGGAGCGCUUUGAAGUGAGAAUGCCGGUAUGAGUAGCGAAAAAAGAGUGAGAAUCUCUUUCACCGAAUGCCUAAGGUUUCCUGAGGAAGGCUCGUCCUCUCAGGGUUAGUCGGGACCUAAGCCGAGGCCGACAGGCGUAGGCGAUGGACAACAGGUUGAUAUUCCUGUACCACCUCAUGAUUGUUUGAACAAUGGGGGGACGCAGGAGGAUAAGGAGUGCGCACUGAUGGAUGUGCGUCCAAGCAUGCGAGGAAGUCAGACAGGCAAAUCCGUCUGAUAUAUUUCUGAGCUGUGAUGGGGAGGGAAAUAUAGUACCGAAGUUCCUGAUUUCACACUGCCAAGAAAAGCCUCUAGUUAGAUCAUAGGUGCCCGUACCGCAAACCGACACAGGUAGGNAUAUUUCUGAGCUGUGACGGGGAGGGAAAUAGAGUACCGAAGUUCCUGAUUUCACACUGCCAAGAAAAGCCUCUAGUUAGAUCAUAGGUGCCCGUACCGCAAACCGACACAGGUAGGCGAGGAGAGAAUCCUAAGGUGAGCGGGAGAACUCUCGUUAAGGAACUCGGCAAAAUGACCCCGUAACUUCGGGAGAAGGGGUGCUCACUUGUGAGUGAGCCGCAGUGAAUAGGCCCAAGCGACUGUUUAGCAAAAACACAGGUCUCUGCGAAGCCGAAAGGCGAAGUAUAGGGGCUGACACCUGCCCGGUGCUGGAAGGUUAAGGGGAAGAGUUAGCUCUUCGGAGCGAAGCUUUGAACCGAAGCCCCAGUAAACGGCGGCCGUAACUAUAACGGUCCUAAGGUAGCGAAAUUCCUUGUCGGGUAAGUUCCGACCCGCACGAAAGGUGCAACGACUUGGGCACUGUCUCAACGAGAGACCCGGUGAAAUUAUACUAUGCGUGAAGAUGCGCAUUACCCGCGACAGGACGGAAAGACCCCGUGGAGCUUUACUGUAGCCUGAUAUGGAAUGUUUGUGCAGUUUGUACAGGAUAGGUGGGAGCCUUUGAAGCGUGAGCGCCAGCUUACGUGGAGGCACCCGUGGGAUACCACCCUAACUGUAUGACCAUUCUAACCCAGGACCGUAAUCCGGUUCGGAGACAGUGUCAGGCGGGCAGUUUGACUGGGGCGGUCGCCUCCUAAAAGGUAACGGAGGCGCCCAAAGGUUCCCUCAGAAUGGUUGGAAAUCAUUCGUAGAGUGUAAAGGCAGAAGGGAGCUUGACUGCGAGACCUACAAGUCGAGCAGGGACGAAAGUCGGGCUUAGUGAUCCGGUGGUUCCGCAUGGAAGGGCCAUCGCUCAACGGAUAAAAGCUACCCCGGGGAUAACAGGCUUAUCUCCCCCAAGAGUUCACAUCGACGGGGAGGUUUGGCACCUCGAUGUCGGCUCAUCGCAUCCUGGGGCUGUAGUCGGUCCCAAGGGUUGGGCUGUUCGCCCAUUAAAGCGGUACGCGAGCUGGGUUCAGAACGUCGUGAGACAGUUCGGUCCCUAUCCGUCGUGGGCGUUGGAAGUUUGAGAGGAGCUGUCCUUAGUACGAGAGGACCGGGAUGGACACACCGCUGGUGUACCAGUUGUUCCGCCAGGAGCAUAGCUGGGUAGCUACGUGUGGAAAGGAUAAGUGCUGAAAGCAUCUAAGCAUGAAGCCCCCCUCAAGAUGAAACUUCCCAUCACUUCAAGUGAGUAAAAUCCCUCAGAGACGAUGAGGUUGAUAGGUCCGAGGUGGAAGCGUGGCGACACGUGCAGCUGACGGAUACUAAUCGAUUGAGGACUUAUCU